rnacentral:misc_RNA from 1 species
AACCUAGCACACCUGCGGUGUGUACCUGCGGAAGGAUCAUUAACGAGUUUUGAAAUGGGUUGUAGCUGGCCUUACAAAAAAAAGGCAUGUGCACACCCUGCUCAUCCACUCUCAUACCCCUGUGCACUUGUUGUAGGCUGGGUGGGAGGACUGGCCGACAAGGGUCAGUCUGAAAGCCUUGUCUAUGUUUUUAUUAUAAACGAUUUAGUUAUAGAAUGUUUAUUUUAGCGUUUUAACGCA